rnacentral:lncRNA from 1 species
UGCAGUGCAUCAUAGAACACGCUAGAGAAGAACACACCCUUUCCCAGAGUUUGGCAGUAAAGUCGUGACAUAGGUGAUGUUAGAGGAAGCCAAGUUGAAGAACCCUGUUAAGCAUGACUUUACCCUACUCUGACAGGGAAAAGCAAUGGACAAUGUGUAUUGACAAUGUGACUCCUUCCGCUGCCCUCUCAGAGGAAGGAGAUCACAAGAGCUGAAGAUCCAAGACCACCUCUGUGGUUUCGUUAGUGAUAUGGUUUGGGUCUGUGUCCCCACCAAAAUCUCCUCUCGAAUUGUAAUCCCCAUAAUCCCCAUGUGUUGAGGAAGAGACCAGGUGGGAGGUGAUUGGAUCAUGGGGAUGGUUUCCCCUGUGCUGUUCUCACGAUAGUGAGUGAGUUCUCAUGAGAUCUGAUGGUUUUAUAAGGGGCCCUUCCUGCUUCGCUCUCUCUCUCUCUCUCUCUCUCUCUCUCUAAUCUGCCUCCAUGUAAGAUGUUCCUACUUCUCCUUCUGCCAUGAUUGUGUUUCCUGAGGUCUCCCCAACCAUGUGGAACUAUGACUCAACUAAAUGUCUUUCCUUUAUAAAUUACCAAGUCUCAGGUAGUAUUCUUUAUGGCAAUGUGAAAAUGAACUAAUACAAUUAGGGGUGAUGGGUAAAGGGAAGGUGUGGGUACAAAAGGGAAAAGAAAAAAAAUUACUGUAGAAUCAAGAUAUUCUACCAGAUUUUUUAAGAAUAAAAUUGGACAAAGAGGAAUCUGUUUAGACAGCAUUAGCUGUUCUUGGGAGCUUGGGGUGGGAGUCGGGAUAAAGAAGACUCUGGGAGCAUCUGCCCUAUGUGUGGGAGAUAGAAAAGGGUAGAGAAUGAUGACUUUCAGGAGUUUUUACGUGCAUUAUGGAUGUCAUCCUGCUUUGUAGGAUUGCAAAAUUUAGCAAAUAAAAAUACAGGAUGACCAGUUAAAUUUGAAUUUCAGACAAAUGAUGAAUAUUUUUAUAAGUAUAUACCAAAUAUUGUAUGGGACAGAUUUAUACUACAUAUGGGGCAUAUUUACAUGAAAAAAGUAUUCAUUGUUUAUCUGAAAUUCAAAUUUAACUGGGUGGUCUGUAUUUUAUCUGACAACCUUACCUCUUUGGCAUUUUCUUGAGAGAUUGUGAUAAAUACUUACAUUUGCUUACAUUUUUUUUAUCCAAACACAAGAAUUAAGAAAAGUCUAUAAGGCAGCUCAACGUUAAGCUCUAUGCUAAAUUUGUAUGAGGAAGGGAAGAAAAUGGACCACAGGUUCCUGCUGUUAUAGCGUCUUUCUUUGUCGCCCAGGCUGGAGUGCAGUGGCGGGAUCUCAGCUCACUGCGGCUUACACCUCCCAGGUUCAAGCGAUUCUUCUGCCUCAGCCUCUCAAGUAGCCGGGACUACAGGCAUGCACCACCACACCUGGCUAAUCUUUGUAUUUUCAGUAGAGAUAGGGUUUCACCAUGUUGGUUAGAUUGGUCUCAAACUCCUGACCUCAGGUGAUCUGCCUGCCUCAGCCUCCCAAAGUGCUGGGAUUACAGGUGUGAGCCACCACGUCUGGCCAUCUGAGCCUAAGUCUUAAGAAGACCUGAUCAUUUCAAUUCAUGCUCUUAGGAGUCUAUAGUCACCAUUUGAGUCUUGCUGGAGAAAGCAUGUGAAAAAACCACAAGGAGGGAGCAAGUGGAAAGGAAGAGGUCCUGAAACAACAGAGAAGAAUCAAAGAAACAAGUCAAUCGGGAGAAGCACAGCCUGCUCGUUUUCCCAGUUGAGCCAUUGCAGCCAGCCUCGAACUAUUCCAGAAAUUCUAGCAGAGGUACCAGGCAUGUGAGUGAGUGAAGGAGCUUUCUUGGACCUUCUAGCCCUAGCAGACACAACGCAGAGCAGAAACAAGCCAUCUCCACUGUUCUGUUUGAAUCCCUGACUCACAGAAUUGCAUACAAGUAAAAUGGUCGUUAUAUUAAGCCACUUAGUUUUAAGAUUGUUUAUUAUGCAGCAGCAGGUACGUGAAACACCAAGGAAAUUUUUAACAAUGUUCAAGAAAAGCUGAUAUUUCCUUUUGUUUCUCUUCCCUAUAAUGUUUGGCUCUAUGCAAGUGGAAAAAAGAGUGUGCUUUCGUGUUCUGUCCAUUCUACCAGAACUUUAGCUGAAGUCAUUAGGAAAGGUGUACCUAGUUGAGAUAACUACUCUUAUAAAAUCCUUUAAUAUGGAACAGAGGGUGGCAGGAGGCAGCCAAAUGCCUAGGCAGAUAGGGACGGGUCCCCGGUGAAACCCCACCUCCAAGCCAAAGACAGUUUAAAGCCUGAAAGCCAAGCUACAAGUUAAAUCCUCAGACCAGAUUGAGAACUUGUUUUCCUAUUUGGCAUGCUUUCCUCUGAUUGGUCCCCACCCUUAACCUAUUUUACAUAUACCUACCCUUUCCUAAUUGGUUUUCUACAUUGUCAUGCCCACCUUUGAGUGGUGUCUUCACUUUAAACUUUUUUGCUACUCACAAACCAAUCAGCAUGCAUUCCCCAUUCUGAGUCCAUGAAAGACCCUGGACCCAGCCACAGAGGGACUUUCACACCUUCAGGUAGGGGGACCACUCCCAUGUUCCCUCUCCACUGAAAGCUGUUUC